rnacentral:rRNA from 1 species
AUUGAACGCUGGCGGCAGGCCUAACACAUGCAAGUCGAGCGGUAGCACAGAGAGCUUGCUCUCGGGUGACGAGCGGCGGACGGGUGAGUAAUGUCUGGGAAACUGCCUGACGGAGGGGGAUAACUACUGGAAACGGUAGCUAAUACCGCAUAACGUCGCACGACCAAAGUGGGGGACCUUCGGGCCUCAUGCCAUCAGAUGUGCCCAGAUGGGAUUAGCUAGUAGGUGGGGUAACGGCUCACCUAGGCGACGAGCCCUAGCUGGUCUGAGAGGAUGACCAGCCAAACUGGAACUGAGACACGGUCCAGACUCCUACGGGAGGCAGCAGUGGGGAAUAUUGCACAAUGGGCGCAAGCCUGAUGCAGCCAUGCCGCGUGUGUGAAGAAGGCCUUCGGGUUGUAAAGCACUUUCAGCGGGGAGGAAGGCGGUGAGGUUAAUAACCUCAUCGAUUGACGUUACCCGCAGAAGAAGCACCGGCUAACUCCGUGCCAGCAGCCGCCGUAA